AGCAGCCGCGGUAAUUCCAGCUCCAAUAGCGUAUAUUAAAGUUGUUGCAGUUAAAAAGCUCGUAGUUGAAUUUCGGAAUUUAUCGGUUGGUCGGGCUUCACUGUCCGCACUGGCCUGAUGGAUUCCUACCUUCUGAAUAACCAGCAUGCUAUUAAUUUAGUGCGUUGGGGAAGCAGAGCUAUUACCUUGAAAAAAUUAGAGUGCUUAAAGCAGGCUUACGCUUGAAUAGAUUAGCAUGGAAUAAUAAAAUAGGACGGCUUGGUUCUAUUUUGUUGGUUUCUAGGAUCACCGUAAUGAUUAAUAGGGAUAGUUGGGGGCAUUAGUAUUCAAUUGUCAGAGGUGAAAUUCUUGGAUUUAUUGAAGACUAACUUCUGCGAAAGCAUUUGCCAAGGAUGUUUUCAUUAAUCAAGAACGAAAGUUAGGGGAUCGAAGACGAUCAGAUACCGUCGUAGUCUUAACCAUAAACUAUGCCGACUAGGGAUCGGACGAUGUUAAUUUUUUAAUGACUCG
rnacentral:rRNA from 1 species